rnacentral:sRNA from 1 species
UGCAACAGCUUGUAGAUCAGUCCCGC